rnacentral:rRNA from 1 species
AUGUACAAUGCGUACCUUCAGCCUAUGAGAGAAACCAGACUGGUACACAGAAUUCCUGGCUAUUUCACACAAGUCACAAGAGCUAAGCUUCCACAGCUGCCAAAAGUAACAGCCGACCAAAUAUUAGGCAGGUCCGAGUGGGCAUGGAACAGAGCACAUAAUGGGAGGGAGCAAAGGAAAUUACCGAAGCAGCAACACUGUAUUCUUCAACCAAAGGUUCUUUUGUUAGGUGAAUUUGCAAAGGGUCAUCAGUUGAGAGAGAAACAUUCAGGCCUCUUAAGAAAAAUGUUGGGAAAGGGUUCCGGUGGUAGUCAAUAA